rnacentral:rRNA from 1 species
UACGGAGGAUGCAAGCGUUAUCCGGAAUGAUUGGGCGUAAAGGGUCCGCAGGUGGCAGUGUAAGUCUGCUGUCAAAGAAUGAGGCUUAACCUCAUCAAGGCAGUGGAAACUACACAGCUAGAGUACGGUCGGGGUAGAAGGAAUUCCUGGUGUAGCGGUGAAAUGCGUAGAUAUCGAGAGGAACACCUGCGGCGAAGGCGGGUUGCUGGGCUGACACUGACGCUGACAGCGCGAAAGCUAGGGGAGCGAACGGG